UUUCUGCCCAAGCGGGGAAGGAUGAGAAGCUUCGACCAAGGUUCGACUUGAGCGCCAGCGAGAGAGCGUUGCCGCAGGCAACGACCCGAAGGGCGAAGCGCGCAGCGCUGAGUAAUCCUUCCCCCCACCACCA
rnacentral:sRNA from 1 species